rnacentral:rRNA from 1 species
ACACAUGCAGUCGAGGGGUAACAGAGGUAGCUUGCUACUUGCUGACGACCGGCGCACGGGUGCGUAACGCGUAUAGAAUCUACCUUAUACUGGGGGAUAGCCUUUGGAAACGAAGAUUAAUACCCCAUAGUAUGUUUGAAUGGCAUCAUUUGGACAUUAAAGUUUCGGCGGUAUAAGAUGACUAUGCGUUCUAUUAGUUUGUUGGUAAGGUAACGGCUUACCAAGACUACGAUAGAUAGGGGUCCUGAGAGGGAGAUCCCCCACACUGGUACUGAGACACGGACCAGACUCCUACGGGAGGCAGCAGUGAGGAAUAUUGGACAAUGGAGGCAACUCUGAUCCAGCCAUGCCGCGUGUAGGAAGACUGCCCUAUGGGUUGUAAACUACUUUUAUAUGGGAAGAAUAAGGUCUACGUGUAGACUGAUGACGGUACCAUAAGAAUAAGCACCGGCUAACUCCGUGCCAGCAGCCGCGGUAAUACGGAGGGUGCAAGCGUUAUCCGGAAUCAUUGGGUUUAAAGGGUCCGUAGGCGGGCAUAUAAGUCAGUGGUGAAAGUCUGUGGCUCAACCAUAGAAUUGCCAUUGAUACUGUAUGUCUUGAAUUAUUGUGAAGUGGUUAGAAUAUGUAGUGUAGCGGUGAAAUGCUUAGAGAUUACAUAGAAUACCGAUUGCGAAGGCAGAUCACUAACAAUAUAUUGACGCUGAUGGACGAAAGCGUAGGUAGCGAACAGGAUUAGAUACCCUGGUAGUCUACGCCGUAAACGAUGGAUACUAGUUGUUUGGUUUUCGGACUGAGUGACUAAGCGAAAGUGAUA